rnacentral:rRNA from 1 species
CCUACGGGAGGCAGCAGUAGGGAAUAUUCCACAAUGGGCGCAAGCCUGAUGGAGCGACACCGCGUGCACGAUGAAGGGUUUCGGCUCGUAAAGCUCUGUUGUUGGAGAAGAACGUGCGUGAGAGUAAAUGUUCACGCAGUGACGGUAUCUCACCAGAAAGUGACGGCUAACUAAGUGCCAGCAGCCGCGGUAAUACAUAGGUUGCAAGCGUUAUCCGGCAUUAUGGGGCGUAAAGGGAGCGCAGGCGUUUUGUUAGGUCUGAGGUGAAAUCCUUCGGCUUAACCGAAGAAGUGCAUCGGAAACUGGGCGACUUGAGUGCAGAAGAGGACAGUGGAACUCCAUGUGUAGCGGUGAAAUGCGUAGAUAUAUGGAAGAACACCAAUGGCGAAGGCAGCUGUCUGGGCGUCAACUGACGCUGAGGCUCGAAAGCGUGGGUAGCGAACAGGAUUAGAUACCCGAGUAGUC